UACAGAGGUCUCAAGCGUUGUUCGGAUUCAUUGGGCGUAAAGGGCGCGUAGGCGGCUCGCUAAGUCGGGUGUGAAAACUCUGGGCUCAACCCAGAGCCUGCAUUCGAAACUGACGGGCUAGAGUUCUGGAGGGGAAAGCGGAAUUCCUGGUGUAGCGGUGAAAUGCGUAGAUAUCAGGAGAACACCGGUGGCGAAGGCGGCUUUCUGGACAGAAACUGACGCUGAGGCGCGAAAGCUAGGGGAGCAAACAGG
rnacentral:rRNA from 1 species